UGAAGUCGUAACAAGGUAGCCGUAGGAGAACCUGCGGCUGGAUCACCUCCUUUCUAAGGAAACAGACUGAAAGUCUGACGGAAACCUGCACACACGAAACUUUGUUUAGUUUUGAGGGGAUUACCCUCAAGCACCCUAGCGGGUGCGACUUUGUUCUUUGAAAACUGGAUAUCAUUGUUGUAAAUGUUUUAAAUUGCCGAGAACACAGCGUAUUUGUAUGAGUUUCUAAUAAUAGAAAUUCGCAUCGCAUAACCGCUGACGCAAGUCAGU
rnacentral:misc_RNA from 1 species